rnacentral:misc_RNA from 1 species
CGCACAUUGCGCCCCUCGGCAUUCCUUGGGGCAUGCCUAUUCGAGCGUCGUUUACACCCCUCAAGCGCGAGCUUGGUGUUGGGGGUUGCCGUCCGACGGCCGGACGGGCACCCCUCGAAAGCAUCAGCGGCUACCGGUGCCUCGUGGAGCGCAGCAGCGAUGCAGCUUCCACCGCCCGCAGCCGGCUGGAAAACCCGCGACCCAGUGUGUCGUGCAGGUCAAGCGUUCGACCUCGAAUUAGGUAGGGAUUACCCGCUGAACUUAA